rnacentral:rRNA from 1 species
UACGGAGGAUCCAAGCGUUAUCCGGAUUUAUUGGGUUUAAAGGGCGCGUAGGCGGCCUUGUAAGUCAGGGGUGAAAGACGGUAGCUCAACUAUCGCAGUGCCCUUGAUACUGCAGGGCUUGAAUACACUAGAGGUAGGCGGAAUGUGACAAGUAGCGGUGAAAUGCGUAGAUAUGUCACAGAACACCGAUUGCGAAGGCGGCUUACUAUGGUGCAAUUGACGCUGAGGCGCGAAAGCGUGGGGAGCAAACGGG